GGGGGUGUCCUGGCUUCGACGGGGGUCGCAAAGUCGACUGGCGCAUGCCGAGGGGGCGACUGUCCUCGUUAAUCCAGUAGCAAACUUUAGUUGCCAACGACGACAACUACGCUCUCGCCGCUUAAGGCGUAAGCCCCGAACCCACUUGUGCCCGUGCUCGUGGAUGUAGGGUCAUUAUCACGGAACCAGCUGGGGCGGCGACCCGCCAACCCCAGCCUAAACUUAGCGGGUGUGUCUGACGGUGUGCUUCGCACGUCGUGUUUCCGUCAGGCGAGAUCUAACGGCGAGCUAAGCAUGUAGUGCCGGAGAUGGAGUGCUCUCGGACGCGGGUUCAACUCCCGCCACCUCCACCA
rnacentral:tmRNA from 1 species